AGAAACUGUCAUUUUUCUGAUGCUGGAAGUCUGGCUCUGCGUAGCCUCUUCUGUCAGUUUUAGUUCUGGUAUCUAGGUAUUCUGGUGUGUUGCCUAAAAUCUAUUUGCAAUACAAAUGAAACAAGUGAUUGCUGCAAUAGAGAGAAGUGCUGAUCCGAUGGUCUUCAGCCAAGGGGAAGAGUAAACAUUUCCUGAACCGAUAAUGUUGGCACUGCUCAGCAGUGGAUAUCCUUUGGAGACUUGGUCAGUACUGUCAAGAAAACUGACUUUGCUGAGUGAAAACAGCCUUUUGUGCAAAAUUCUUAUUCUCAAGGACAGCAAAUCUUUGGAAGGUAUUCAACGUCAUGUAAUCUUGAUUUGCAUCUUCAGGACAAGUGAAUAAUGAGUGAGUAUUUAGAAUAUGCACUUUAAUACUAUAAUUUACAACUUUUUGUUAGAAAAAACUACUGAG
rnacentral:lncRNA from 1 species